GAAAUAUUCCCUCCGUCUAAAAAAGCUUGUCCAAAAUUUAUUCUUUAAAUGGAGGUAUCUAGCACUAAUUUGGUGUUAGAUACAUCAGUUUGAUGGAUAAAUAUUUCGGGACGGAGGGAGUAGUAG
rnacentral:pre_miRNA from 1 species